rnacentral:rRNA from 1 species
AGGAUUAACGCUGGCGGCGUGCCUAACACAUGCAAGUCGAACGAGGUAGCAAUACCUAGUGGCAGACGGGUGAGUAACGCGUGGUCAACCUACCGUUGAGUGGGGGAUAACUAGCCGAAAGGUUAGCUAAUACCGCAUACGAGUUUCGGGGGCAUCCCUGAUUCUUAAAAGGAGCAAUCCGCUCGAUGACGGGACCGCGUCCCAUUAGCUAGAUGGUGGGGUAACGGCCUACCAUGGCACCGAUGGGUAGCUGGUUUGAGAGAGCGACCAGCCACACUGGGACUGAGAAACGGCCCAGACUCCUACGGGAGGCAGCAGUGAGGAAUUUUCCGCAAUGGGCGAAAGCCUGACGGAGCGACGCCGCGUGUGGGAAGAAGGCCUUCGGGUCGUAAACCACUGUCGAAGGGGACGAUAAUGACGGUACCCUUGGAGGAAGCCCCGGCUAACUACGUGCCAGCAGCCGC